UGCCCCAAAGUUGCCUGGGAGUGCCCCAAAGUUUCCUGGGAGUGCCCCAAAGUUACCUGGGAAUGCCCCAAAGUUUCCUGGGAAUGCCCCAAAGUUACCUGGAAAUGCCCCACAAUUAUCAGGGAAUGCCCCGGAAUCCACCAGGAAUCCCCAGCAGUGACCCAGGAAUGCCCCAAAUGACCUGGGAACACCCAAAAAUUACUUUGGAAUGCCCAAAAACUACCUGGGAAUGCCGCAGAAUUCCCACUGGAGGGGUUUUUGGGGGAGAAACCUUCAGGGUUUAGGAGUCCAUAAGACCCCGGAAAGGCUUUUUUGGGGAAAAACUUCUGGAUUUCGAUAACCUGCAGGCAACUUUUGCCUUUCCAGAGCCUUUGGGACACCAGGGGAGGGAAAUUUUGGGGAGGGUAAAAUCCUUUAGCGACCUGUGGGACACGGGAGAGGCUUUUUGGGGGGAAAAGCGGGAAUUCUGGGAGUGGAGCGAUUGGAAUCUGCCCGGCCCAGGACCAGCUGCUGUUCUGUGACGACUGCGACCGCGGGUACCACAUGUACUGCCUGACCCCGCCCAUGUCCGAGCCCCCCGAGGGGAGCUGGAGCUGCCACCUCUGCCUGGACCUGCUCAAGGAGAAGGCGUCGAUUUACCAGAACCAGAACAGCUCCUGAUCCUGCUCUUCCUCCUCCUCCUCCUCAUCCCCAUCCCCUCCUCAUCCUCACCCCCUCAGCUUUGGGGCCUUUGCCUUUUUUUCCCAGUUUUUUUGGGUCAUUUUCCCUCCUUUACCUUCUUUUUUUUUCUUUUUUUUCCCUUUUAUUUCCUUUAUUUUCAUUUUUUGGGGGUCCUUUUUAUUUCCCUUUUUUGCCUUCUUUUCUCUUUUGGUUCUUUUUGCCCUUUAAUUUUCUUCUUUUUUCUUUCAUUUUCUUCCUUUUUUGGUUCUGUUUUAAUUCCCUUUUAUCCUUUACUUUUUUCUUUCAUUUUCCUCUUUUUUUGCUUUGUUUUGUUUCCCUUUUUUGCUCUUUUCUCCUUUUCUUCUAUUUUCUUGUUUUUUGGGAUCUUUUCCCUUGUUUUUAAUUUCCUCUUCUCUCUCUUUUAUUUUUGCUCUUUUUUCUUUUUUUUUAAUUUUCUUUUUUCCUUUUUUAUUUUCUCUUUUUUUUCUUUUUUCCCCUUUUUUUCUUUUUUCCUUCUAUUUCCCUUUCCUUCCUUAUUUUUUUUAUCUCCUUUAUUCAUCCUGGGGUGUUUUUUUUUUUUUAAUCUCUUCCAUUCCCUUCAUUUCACCUCUUUUUUCCUCCCUUUUCUUUAUUUUGGGUCCUUUUUUCCCUUUUUCUUCCCCUCCCUCCAUUUUUGGGUGGAUUCCGUUGAUUCCAGGAUUUCAGGGCCCUUUCUCCCCUCCCCCCACUCCCCCCGGUGAUUUUUGGGGUGAUUUUCAUCCCUUCCACCCCCCAAGUUCCCAGGAUUUCACCCCAAAACUCACCCACUCCCCCUCCCGGCGCCGCGGGUGCCAAACUCUCCCUUUUCCCCCUUUUUUUUUUGGGAAUUCCGGGGCAGUUUUGGGGCUUUUUCUUCCGUUUUUGGAGGGGAGAUUUUUCCUGCUUCGAUUUUUGUUCCCUUUUCCCCCAUUUUUAUCACCCCCCCACCCCCCAAAGGAUGCUCCCA
rnacentral:lncRNA from 13 species